rnacentral:rRNA from 1 species
UGGGGAAUAUUGCACAAUGGAGGGAACUCUGAUGCAGCAACGCCGCGUGCGGGAUGACGGCCUUCGGGUUGUAAACCGCUUUCAGCCAUGACGAAGCUUUUGUGACGGUAGUGGUAGAAGAAGCACCGGCUAACUACGUGCCAGCAGCCGCGGUGAUACGUAGGGUGCGAGCGUUGUCCGGAAUUAUUGGGCGUAAAGAGCUUGUAGGCGGUUUGUCGCGUCGAUAGUGUAAACACGCAGCUUAACUGUGUGCCUGCUGUCGAUACGGGCUGACUAGAGGAGGGUAGGGGAGAAUGGAAUUCCCGGUGGAGCGGUGGAAUGCGCAGAUAUCGGGAGGAACACCAGUGGCGAGGGCGGUUCUCUGGACCUUUCCUGACGCUGAGAAGCGAAAGCGUGGGUAGCAAACAGG